AAGCCAGCUUGACUGCGAGCGUGACGGCGCGAGCAGGUGCGAAAGCAGGUCAUAGUGAUCCGGUGGUUCUGAAUGGAAGGGCCAUCGCUCAACGGAUAAAAGGUACUCCGGGGAUAACAGGCUGAUACCGCCCAAGAGUUCAUAUCGACGGCGGUGUUUGGCACCUCGAUGUCGGCUCAUCACAUCCUGGGGCUGAAGUAGGUCCCAMGGGUAUGGCUGUUCGCCAUUUAAAGUGGUACGCGAGCUGGGUUUAGAACGUCGUGAGACAGUUCGGUCCCUAUCUGCCGUGGGCGCUGGAGAACUGAGGGGGGCUGCUCCUAGUACGAGAGGACCGGAGUGGACGCAUCACUGGUGUUCGGGUUGUCAUGCCAAUGGCACUGCCCGGUAGCUAAAUGCGGAAGAGAUAAGUGCUGAAAGCAUCUAAGCACGAAACUUGCCCCGAGAUGAGUUCUCCCUGAGACUUAGAGUCUCCUGAAGGAACGUUGAAGACGACGACGUUGAUAGGCCGGGUGUGUAAGCGCAGCGAUGCGUUGAGCUAACCGGUACUAAUGAACCGUGAGGCUUAACCUUACAACGCCGAAGCUGUU
rnacentral:rRNA from 1 species